GUGCACAUGCGUCAGUGCUGGUUUUUGGCCAAGAUCUAUCGUUUCACUGGCGGGACACUGGAGUCAAGCUGUUCGGUUUAGCUAAGUCCCAAUGUGUCGAGAGAGAAAAAGGGAUGCAGUUGUUUGACGCCUCAUUGAGUACCUUGGGGAACAUCAAGAAGAUUUCAUCCAAGAUUGCUAGGCUGAAAAUGAGGACAACAUGGACUAAACCAUGAAGGUGCUUGUAAUCCAUAAUCCUGCAGCCAAGGAGCAUACAGCAGAUGUGUUGAUUGCGAUGGAGGGAAACAAAGUGCUGAACGUGUGUGGAA